rnacentral:sRNA from 1 species
GGGGGCGAACCGGGUUCGACCGGACAAGGGAAGGAUGAGUUGCAAGCCGCAGUUGGUCAGCGGGCUGCGUUAAAAGCCGACUACUAAAUUCAAAUGCCGAACCUAAAUUGGCAUUGGCUGCCUAAACACAGGCAACCCCGAAACCGCGCUGCUGCCGAAGCGGUGUGAAUUUCGGACGACAUUUCGGCUGGUUUCUGUUCACGUUGACUACGGCAGGAACAAGACACUGUUGUCAAACCGUCUGUGCGAAACCGUCGCCGAUAAGGGUUCAAACGGAUCAAACUUCAAAGAAUCGGAGACGCUUGUGGACGCUUGUUUGGAACUGUUUCGGGACGCGGGUUCAAUUCCCGCCGCCUCCAA